rnacentral:rRNA from 1 species
GAUGAACGCUGGCGGCGUGCCUAACACAUGCAAGUCGAGCGAUUCUCUUCGGAGAAGAGCGGCGGACGGGUGAGUAACGCGUGGGUAACCUGCCCUGUACACACGGAUAACAUACCGAAAGGUAUGCUAAUACGAGAUAAAUAUGCUUUUUAUCGCAUGGUAGAAGUAUCAAAGCUCCGGCGGUACAGGAUGGACCCGCGUCUGAUUAGCUAGUUGGUAAGGUAACGGCUUACCAAGGCGACGAUCAGUAGCCGACCUGAGAGGGUGAUCGGCCACAUUGGAACUGAGACACGGUCCAAACUCCUACGGAGGCAGCAGUGGGGAAUAUUGCACAAUGGGCGAAAGCCUGAUGCAGCAAACGCCGCGUGAGGGAAGACGGUUUUUCGGAUUGUAAACCUCUGUUCUAAGUGAACGAAGAAUGACGGUAGCUUAGGAGGAAGCCCCGGC